rnacentral:rRNA from 1 species
UACGGGGGGGGCAAGCGUUGUUCGGAAUUACUGGGCGUAAAGGGCUCGUAGGUGGCCAACUAAGUCAGACGUGAAAUCCCUCAGCUUAACUGGGGAACUGCGUCUGAUACUGGAUGGCUUGAGUUUGGGAGAGGGAUGCGGAAUUCCAGGUGUAGCGGUGAAAUGCGCAGAUAUCAGGAGGAACACCGAUGGCGAAGGCAGGUCUCUGGGCCACUACUGACGCUGAGAAGCGAAAGCAUGGGGAGCGAACAGG